rnacentral:rRNA from 1 species
AUACAUCGGAACGUGCCCGAUCGUGGGGGAUAACGGAGCGAAAGCUUUGCUAAUACCGCAUACGAUCUACGGAUGAAAGCAGGGGACCGCAAGGCCUUGCGCGGACGGAGCGGCCGAUGGCAGAUUAGGUAGUUGGUGGGAUAAAAGCUUACCAAGCCGACGAUCUGUAGCUGGUCUGAGAGGACGACCAGCCACACUGGGACUGAGACACGGCCCAGACUCCUACGGGAGGCAGCAGUGGGGAAUUUUGGACAAUGGGCGAAAGCCUGAUCCAGCCAUGCCGCGUGCAGGAUGAAGGCCUUCGGGUUGUAAACUGCUUUUGUACGGAACGAAAAGACCUCUUCUAAUAAAGGGGGUCCAUGACGGUACCGUAAGAAUAAGCACCGGCUAACUACGUGCCAGCAGCCGCGGUAAUACGUAGGGUGCAAGCGUUAAUCGGAAUUACUGGGCGUAAAGCGUGCGCAGGCGGUUAUGUAAGACAGAUGUGAAAUCCCCGGGCUCAACCUGGGAACUGCAUUUGUGACUGCAUAGCUAGAGUACGGUAGAGGGGGAUGGAAUUCCGCGUGUAGCAGUGAAAUGCGUAGAUAUGCGGAGGAACACCGAUGGCGAAGGCAAUCCCCUGGACCUGUACUGACGCUCAUGCACGAAAGCGUGGA